rnacentral:rRNA from 1 species
GACGAACGCUGGCGGCGUGCUUAACACAUGCAAGUCGAACGAUGAAGCUGGAGCUUGCUCCGGUGGAUUAGUGGCGAACGGGUGAGUAACACGUGAGCAAUCUGCCCUUCACUCUGGGAUAACUGCGGGAAACUGUAGCUAAUACCGGAUACGAGACCUUGGGGCAUCCCAGGGUCUGGAAAGAAUUUCGGUGAAGGAUGAGCUCGCGGCCUAUCAGCUAGUUGGUGAGGUAAUGGCUCACCAAGGCGACGACGGGUAGCCGGCCUGAGAGGGUGGCCGGCCAAACUGGGACUGAGACACGGCCCAGACUCCUACGGGAGGCAGCAGUGGGGAAUAUUGCACAAUGGGCGAAAGCCUGAUGCAGCAACGCCGCGUAAGGGAUGAAGGCCUUCGGGUUGUAAACCUCUUUUAGUAGGGAAGAAGCGCAAGUGACGGUACCUACAGAAAAAGCACCGGCUAACUACGUGCCAGCAGCCGCAGUAA